CUGUUCCAAUCAACCAUUCCCCUUUAUAUAGUCAAUGUUUGUUUUCAGUGGGGGAGGCUCUUUUGUGUUGAGCUGGAGCACUGUCUUGUGUUAAAAUUGAAUUAGUAACAAUCUACUGGUGUUUUUGUGAUAUCUUUUGGUUGUACGCACAGGGUCAAUGAGGACAGGAUAUGGACCAAAACCUAAAAGAUGGCAAGCUUCUGUCCAACAGAGUCUAUCUCCACCACAACAAGGGGUUUUAUCCUGGGCUUAAGAUGAAGUACGCCACCAACAACACAUUGUUGGAUGAAAUUCGGACUACAGAGAUGAUAGAGAUUGGAGACCAUCCUGCCUGCAUCAGGAACAGAAGUUGAGCAGAAGAUGUACCUGGAAGAAGUAAUUCUGCCAGAGGUCGCCAACCAUUCCAGAGAAGGAUGU
ensembl:lncRNA